UACGGAGGGUGCAAGCGUUAUCCGGAUUCACUGGGUUUAAAGGGUGCGUAGGUGGGCAAGUAAGUCAGUGGUGAAAUCUCCGGGCUUAACCCGGAAACUGCCAUUGAUACUAUUUGUCUUGAAUACUGUGGAGGUCAGCGGAAUAUGUCAUGUAGCGGUGAAAUGCUUAGAUAUGACAUAGAACACCAAAUUUGCGAAGGCAGCUGGCUACACAAAUAUUGACACUGAGGCACGAAAGCGUGGGGAUCAAACAGG
rnacentral:rRNA from 1 species